CUAAAGCAAGUUGAAAAACUGCUAAACCCUUGUGAAUAUACCUGUUUAGUUGCUUCGGCGGGCAGCCCCAGGGCGGGGCCGCAGCCUUUUAUAGGUGCUCGCCGAUAGCAUUAAAACUCUAUUUUUACAGUUACUCUGAGUUAUAAAACAAAUAAGUCA
rnacentral:misc_RNA from 2 species